rnacentral:rRNA from 1 species
GACGAACGCUGGCGGCGUGCCUAACACAUGCAAGUCGAGCGGGAACCUCAGGAGGGGUAACCCUUCUGAGGGGAGAGCGGCGAACGGGUGAGUAACACGUGGGCAACCUGCCCCGGACACCGGGAUAACCCAGGGAAACCUGAGCUAAUACCGGAUACUCCGGCGCGAUCGCAUGGUCGUGCCGGGAAAGCUCCGACGGUCCGGGAUGGGCCCGCGGCCUAUCAGCUUGUUGGUGGGGUAACGGCCCACCAAGGCGACGACGGGUAGCUGGUCUGAGAGGAUGAUCAGCCACAUUGGGACUGAGACACGGCCCAAACUCCUACGGGAGGCAGCAGUGGGGAAUAUUGGACAAUGGGCGCAAGCCUGAUCCAGCCAUGCCGCGUGAGUGAUGAAGGCCCUAGGGUUGUAAGCUCUUUUGUGCGGGAAGAUAAUGACGGUACCGCAAGAAUAAAGCCCCGGCUAACUUCGUGCCAGCCGCCGCCGUAAG